UGAGGUCUUUGCGCAUGUAACUAGCCUUGAAUAAAUGUGAAAAAAGCCACAAGAUGACUUUAGCCACACAGCGGUUCAUGUACAUGUCUAAUAUAAGAGCCCAAACAGAAGUGAAACAACAGACAGGAAACUCAUUGCUGGUUAAUGAGUGUGAGCACCUGCAGCUUCAGUUUUAAAAUUACCACUUCUCAAAAAAGGCUCUAGUGCUGAAAUUCACAGUGCGCAUACACUCACGCAGAGUCAUUCGAGCCUCUUCAGAUAACAGUACAUCAGAACAAACCAGCAACAGACCGAAAAGAAGAACCAUGAUAAGUCUCAGAACAGUUUGUUUUGUGUAUUUUGCAUUGCUCUUCGGAACGCCAAAUGCUAGCAAAACAUCAGUCACAGAAGAGAGUGGAACAAAUAAUAGCAUGUCUAUGACAAAUGAAAUAAAUGUCACCCCGACAACAUCUACGAAUAAGAAAGUGUCACCAGACCCAAACACUGACGAGACAACAUCUUUAAAUACAGCCAGCACUCAGACCACUACUAAACCUGAGGAAGGAUACUGUAUUUUCUCUCUACCAACUGAUGGAAAUAAACUGCAACUGAUUGUGGCUGCUCUCACAGUGGGCUGCUUGGUAUUGUUGCUGACCACACUGAUAUGCUCCUGUCAGGUUUGUCACCUGAGAGGAAUAAUCUCUAGUCUCCAGCCUCGUUACGACAGCACUGACGAACAUGCCAGAAGAGAGAAGAGUCAAUCACCACGCCGAGAUGAAGGCCAAGUGGACGGGCACCCAACUGAGACCUGCUUGAUGCUAUCAGAGGUCACCACAGCACAAGAGGAGAGUAGAGAGGAUCAGAAGAACGAGACUGAGGAGAAGAAUGACACAGAGCAGUCCAGCGCUGAGCCGCCUGUGAAGGACCCAAAUGGCGACAUCACCCAAGAGAACAGUCCUGAGCCUGAUUCAAAAGCACCAGAGAGCUCAGACACAGAGGUGUGAUCACGAUCAGACACUUAAACUGGUGUCACACAACUUCCCCUGGUGACAUUUCAAGUCUGCACCUGCUUAAGCUUUAACUGUUAUCUACUGCAUAAGACUUAAAAAGGUCUGAAAUAUGAAAGUAUAAAAUUCUAUUGUAUUCUACAAUGAAAUCCUGAAAGUAUAAAAUUCUGAAAAUACUGCAAAUAAGCUUGUCACUCGCCACAUUGUCUCUCCUUAUUUUAGGCUAUAACAAUAUUGUAUGACCAUGUUUCAUAUGUGUGUGCAUUUACGUUGUCUGUAUUUUAAAUAAUACAUUUGUAUUUUGUUGUCACCUAAAAAGAAAUCUUUAAACAUCCUUAAAAAGAUAUAUAUACUUGACAAACAACAAAAAAAAUGUGUGAGAAGACUAUGUUUUGGGAAUAUAUCUAUUUAUUGAUUUCGUUUUUUAUGCUUAAAAAAAAAAAUACUUGCCAAUGUGGUAAGAUAAAUAAACUUAAUGAAAAAUAUUUCUCUGAUGUCAAUCAGAUUCAUCCAAUUUUAUGAUUAAACUUAUCUUGUUUUAAGGAUGUUAAAAUAUUUCUAGUAAAAAACAUGAAAAAAAGCUGAUUUGAAAAUGACUGUGCAGUUUUGUGUUUUUAAGAAUAAAACAAUUACAUGUCUUUAUUUUGAACCUUGAAACUAGACAAGACUUGUUGUUUCUCAUCUAAAUCAAAACUUAGGUAAAAUUAGGUUAAUUAAAUUUUAUUUUGCAGCAUCACACCACCAUGAGAAAAUACAUCAUUUUACAGCCACACCCACAUUUCUGCUUUUCAUUCACACUUAACACAUGCUCAUUUGAUCUAGCACAAUAUAUUCUCAGCAUGUUAUAAAUAGAAAAGCAAACCAUCCAGGACCGCUGAUAAAUGCAUUUGCAAUUGCCUCCUCUGACUUUCUGAUUCUGAUCUUAGUGAUCAGAGACAGAGGAACAGCCUAGAAACGCCAUAACAUAUCAAAUAUUACACAUGGAGCGACAUAGACCUUGUUUGUUCUUUUAUUUGUUGGCCAUUUUGCUGUCACUGAGCAUCUCUUUGACAACAAACUCUGACCCCACCAAUGCAGACACACUUCAGAGCAAGGGUGGAGAAGGAGUGAAAAGGUCACGAGUGAGAAGGCAGAACUUAAAGUGUUAGUUCACCCAAAAAUGGAAAUUAUGUCAUUAAUGACUCAUUUUUGGACCAAAAUGUAUUUUCGAUGCUUCAACAAAUUCUAACUGACCCUCUGAUGUCACAUGGACUACUUUGAUGAUGUUUUUAUUACCUUUCUGGACAUGGACAGUAUACCGUACAUACAUUUUCAAUGGAGGGACAGAAAGCUCUCGGACUAAAUCUAAAAUAUCUUAAACUGUGUUCCGAAGAUGAACGGAGGUCUUACGGGUUUGGAACGACAUGAGGGUGAGUCAUUAAUGACAUAAUUUCCAUUUUUGGGUGAACUAACCCUUUAAACCUACAACAUGCAUUACGUUUACCAGAAAAGGCUUAUGCUUUCUAUAUGUUAUUAAGACUUGUGAAUGAAGUUUACAAUGAUACGAACACCAUCAAACCAUUAACGAUGAGACCAGACAAACUGGAAUUUACAACAUCAGAAGGACCAAAGAACACGGAGAUCGAGGUCAAACCAUCUUCAGCUCCCAUACAGGAACAAAGCACUCAUUCCAUCAGUGUGACUGGUACAAAUGACUCUACAGCUACGGCCUCUUUCCCUACUGAACCAUCAUCACUAGACUCACCGAAAACAACUCAAAUAAAAGAUUUACAACUAGUGGAACAAUCAACUCAACGACUUCAGACCACAAUACAGAAGAUUACAGAACCCAAUCAAGCUAUAGAGCAACACAUCCCUGAUUCUACAAAAUUUAAAAUUCCCUCCACUGCAGCUGUAGAACCUUCUACAAUUGCCAUACAUGAACAGAUCAACCACUUCACUGAUAUUAAUGGUACUAAUAAUUCCACAGCUAUGGUGUCUCUCCCCACUAAAUCAUCAUUACCAGACUCACAGAAAACAACUCAAUCAGGAGAUUCAGAACUAGCUGAAGAAUCAACUCAACACAAAAUUCCCGAACCCAUCAUUCAAAAUUACAAAACCUAGAUCAAACCAGCUAAUACCUAAACAUGACAGCUUUUUAAGCUAAACUAAUUCUGAAUUAACCAAUUCUACAGACUCCACAGUGAGUCACAAACUUCCACACAACAUGUUCAUGUCUUGCAUAUGCAAACACUUAACUUCACAUGAACAAAUGAGUGUUAAUAUGUUAUAUACGUUGAGAUUGUGAUGGCAUGUUUUUUAAAG
ensembl:lncRNA